UACAGAGACUGCAAGCGUUGUUCGGAUUCAUUGGGCGUAAAGGGUGCGCAGGCGGCGGGGCAAGUCGGGUGUGAAAUCUCGAGGCUUAACCUCGAUAAGUCAUUCGAAACUGCCUUGCUUGAGGACUGGAGAGGAGACUGGAAUGGCUGGUGUAGCGGUGAAAUGCGUAGAGAUCAGCCAGAACACCGGUGGCGAAGGCGGGUCUCUGGACAGUUCCUGACGCUCAGGCACGAAAGCCAGGGGAGCAAACGGG
rnacentral:rRNA from 1 species